rnacentral:rRNA from 1 species
UCGCCCUUUCAGGCCUAACACAUGCAAGUCGAACGGUAACAGGAAGAAGCUUGCUUCUUUGCUGACGAGUGGCGGACGGGUGUGUAAUGUCUGGGAAACUGCCUGAUGGAGGGGGAUAACUACUGGAAACGGUAGCUAAUACCGCAUAACGUCGCAAAACCAAAGAGGGGGACCUUCGGGCCUCUUGCCAUCGGAUGUGCCCAGAUGGGAUUAGCUAGUAGGUGGGGUAACGGCUCACCUAGGCGACGAUCCCUAGCUGGUCUGAGAGGAUGACCAGCCACACUGGAACUGAGACACGGUCCAGACUCCUACGGGAGGCAGCAGUGGGGAAUAUUGCACAAUGGGCGCAAGCCUGAUGCAGCCAUGCCGCGUGUAUGAAGAAGGCCUUCGGGUUGUAAG